rnacentral:rRNA from 1 species
UACGUAGGGCGCAAGCGUUGUCCGGAAUUAUUGGGCGUAAAGAGCUCGUAGGCGGUUUGUUGCGUCUGCUGUGAAAACGCGAGGCUUAACCUCGCGCCUGCAGUGGGUACGGGCAGACUAGAGUGUGGUAGGGGAGACUGGAAUUCCUGGUGUAGCGGUGGAAUGCGCAGAUAUCAGGAGGAACACCGGUGGCGAAGGCGGGUCUCUGGGCCGUUACUGACGCUGAGGAGCGAAAGCAUGGGGAGCGAACAGG